rnacentral:rRNA from 1 species
CAAACCAAAGCUGGCGACCGGCGCACGGGUGAGUACACGUAUCCAACCUGCCUCAUACUCGGGGAUAGCCUUUCGAAAGAAAGAUUAAUAUCCGAUAGCAUAUAUUUCCCGCAUGGGUUUUAUAUUAAAGAAAUUCGGUAUGAGAUGGGGAUGCGUUCCAUUAGUUUGUUGGGGGGGUAACGGCCCACCAAGACUACGAUGGAUAGGGGUUCUGAGAGGAAGGUCCCCCACAUUGGAACUGAGACACGGUCCAA